rnacentral:snoRNA from 1 species
UUGCACCAGCAAGGGCUUCGCCAAAGUUAAAAUGGCGACGCCCGAUCUGCUAUUGUGCAUAAAGUGAAAGCUGAGCUUUAGUCAGCGGCGGCCAGACAACCGCUGAGAUGGAUCCACAGAUGAGUUCUUUCAAAAUAGGACUUGUCUACUAAUUCCAUCUCACAUCU